UACGUAGGGGGCUAGCGUUGUCCGGAAUCAUUGGGCGUAAAGGGCGUGUAGGCGGUCCGGUAAGUCCGCUGUGAAAGUCGGGGGCUCAACCCUCGAAUGCCGGUGGAUACUGUCGGGCUAGAGUGCGGAAGAGGCGAGUGGAAUUCCUGGUGUAGCGGUGAAAUGCGCAGAUAUCAGGAGGAACACCGAUUGCGAAGGCAGCUCGCUGGGACGUAACUGACGCUGAGACGCGAAAGCGUGGGGAGCAAACAGG
rnacentral:rRNA from 1 species